rnacentral:rRNA from 1 species
GACGAACCGUGCGAACGUUGUUCGGAAUCAUUGGGCUUAAAGGGCGCGUAGGCGGGCUGGCCAGUCCGGGGUGAAAGCCCACGGCUCAACCGUGGAAGUGCCUUGGAUACUGCCAGUCUCGAGGGAGGUAGGGGCGUGCGGAACUUCCGGUGGAGCGGUGGAAUGCGUAGAGAUCCGGAGGAACACCAGCGGCGAAGGCGGCGUCCUGGACUGGGCCUGACGCUCAGGAGCGAAAGCGUGGGGAGCGAUCCGG